AAGCUCUUAGAGGCGUAGGCAAAUAUGUGCAGGCCGUCAGUACAGUACUGUGCAGUACAGCAGCAAGAAAAUCAGCUUGGUACCACCAGACUGGGCUGCAGGUUCCAGCUGUUGCUGCUAGCAGGAAGUGGCUAAGCUGGCCAUCGUAUCACAGGCAUCCAGGCAGAGGGAUUGAUGUCCGAAGAAGAAAAAUCUGGGACAUGUAUGGACCACAAACUCAGUUAGAGGAAGAUGCAAUCACACCCAAUGAUAAGACCCUUUUCCCUGAUGUUGAUUGGUUAAUCGGUAACCAUUCUGAUGAACUCACACCAUGGAUACCUGUCAUUGCAGCCAGGUCUUCCUACAAUUGCCGCUUCUUUGUCCUCCCCUGCUGCUUCUUUGACUUCGUUGGAAGAUACUCCCGGAGGCAGAGUAAGAAGACUCAGUACCGGGAAUACCUUGACUUCAUUAAAGAAGUGGGCUUCACCUGUGGGUUUCACGUGGACGAAGACUGCCUCAGGAUUCCUUCAACCAAAAGAGUCUGUCUCGUUGGAAAAUCCAGAACAUACCCUUCCUCCAGAGAAGCUUCCGUGGAUGAAAAGAGGACUCAGUACAUUAAGAGCAGGCGGGGCUGCCCUGUAAGCCCACCUGGCCAGGAGCUUUCCCCUUCUCCACCCUGGGUUGCUGCUGGCAGUGCUGGUCACCGUGACGGUCAGCAAGCUCUGGACGCCAGGGUCGGGUGUGUAGCCAGGGCCUGGGCCGCUGAGCAUGGAGCAGGGCCCCAGGCUGAAGGACCCUGGCUACCUGGAUUUCAUCCCAGAGAAAAGGCUGAGCGUGUGAGGAACUGUGCCGCCCUGCCACGAGAUUUUAUUGACCAAGUGGUUUUGCAAGUAGCGAAUUUACUGUUAGGUGGAAAGCAAUUAAACACAAGAAGUUCUCGAAAUGGGAGUUUGAAGACCUGGAACGGGGGAGAGAGCCUAUCUCUGGCAGAAGUAGCCAAUGAGCUGGACACGGAGACCCUGCGGAGGCUGAAGCGGGAGUGUGGGGGCCUGCAGACGCUGCUCCGGAACAGCCACCAGGUGUUCCAAGUUGUGAAUGGGAGAGUUCACAUCCGCGACUGGCGAGAGGAGACACUGUGGAAGACAAAGCAACCGGAAGCGAAACAGAGACUGCUCUCCGAAGCCUGCAAAACCCGCCUCUGCUGGUUCUUCAUGCAUCACCCUGAUGGCUGUGCUCUGUCCACGGACUGCUGCCCGUUUGCCCAUGGGCCUGCGGAGCUGCGGCCACCCCGGACCACCCCGAGGAAGAAGAUUUCAUGAGCUGCAUCCUUGCCAGCCGAGGCCUGGUCGGGGAGGCCAAACCAAGGAGAGCUUCCCCGGCAGUCCUCAGUGCUGUGGUCUCUGCUCUGGCUGUGUUUCAGCCCACCUCCUCCCAGCUUUCUCCACAUCCUCACAGUGAUGAACCGUAUUUCAUAAACAUCACACGCCAGAGAAGCCACAGUUACUCGGAAGCCCCCAGCUAGGUGCCUGGCUUGUUUCAGAUGCAGCCGCUUGAAACGUGCACAGCAUCUUCAUAUCAUAAAGAUUGUGCACGGAUCCUUACAGUGUCUCCUGGGGGAGAGCGGCUGAGGCUGCCUUGCACAGGCCCUUCCCAGGGCGCUGUCCGACGCGUGCCCCACCAUGUCCACAUCUGUGAAGAGGAUGGGGCUCCUCGAGAAGUAAGACCGUAUCUGCCAGCGUUUCUCACCACACUGGAGAGCAGCUGCUCUGGAGCAGGGAUCCACCAGAUUGGUAUUUUUAAAAAAGGUGUAAGACUUGCUAUGUUGAGGUUGUUUUUAGAGUUACAGAGAAUAAAAACACUCAUAAUUUCCUG
rnacentral:sRNA from 1 species